AGAGUUUGAUCCUGGCUCAGAAUCAACGCUGGCGGCGUGCCUAACACAUGCAAGUCGAGCGAGAAAGGGUAGCAAUACCUGAGUAAAGCGGCGCACGGGUGAGUAACACGUGGAUAACCUGCCUCGAAGUGGGGAAUAACCCCGGGAAACCGGAGCUAAUACCGCAUAUUCUGACGAAGUCUGUGGAUUUUGUCAGGAAAGGAGCAAUUCGCUUUGAGAGGGGUCCGCGGCUGAUUAGCUAGUUGGUGAGGUAAUGGCUCACCAAGGCCACGAUCAGUAGCCGGUCUGAGAGGACGGUCGGCCACACUGGAACUGAGACACGGUCCAGACUCCUACGGGAGGCAGCAGUGGGGAAUUUUUCGCAAUGGGGGCAACCCUGACGAAGCAACGCCGCGUGGGUGAUGAAGUAUUUCGGUACGUAAAACCCUUUCGACGGGGACGAAACCGCAAGGUUGACGGUACCCGUAGAAGAAGCCCCGGCUAACUCCGUGCCAGCAGCCGCGGUAAUACGGGGGGGGCAAGCGUUGUUCGGAAUUACUGGGCGUAAAGGGCGCGUAGGCGGUUCGCUAAGUUGGAUGUGAAAACUCUGGGCUUAACCCAGAGCCUGCAUCCAAAACUGGCGAACUGGAGUACUGGAGGGGAAAGCGGAAUUCCUGGUGUAGCGGUGAAAUGCGUAGAUAUCAGGAGGAACACCGGUGGCGAAGGCGGCUUUCUGGACAGUAACUGACGCUGAGGCGCGAAAGCCGGGGGAGCAAACAGGAUUAGAUACCCUAGUAGUCC
rnacentral:rRNA from 1 species